rnacentral:rRNA from 1 species
UGGUGCCUACCUGUUGUAACAGCACGCCAAACACAUCCUGGUGAUCCAGUGCUUUCGCCGCGUCAUCUACAAUGACGUCAAAGCCAAAGGUUUCGGCACGCGUACGCACGACGUCCAGAGUUUGCGGGAGCUCGAUGAGUAGGGCGGGACACGUGGUAUCCUGUCUGAAUAUGGGGGGACCAUCCUCCAAGGCUAAAUACUCCUGACUGACCGAUAGUGAACCAGUACCGUGAGGGAAAGGCGAAAAGAACCCC